rnacentral:ncRNA from 2 species
AAAAGGGAAUCCGGUGCCGCGCCCCGCGCGCUCAACCCGGAGCUGCCCCCGCAACUGUAAUCGGCGAGUCCUGCGCCCUCUCUGCCACUGGAAUCUUUCCGGGAAGGCUGGCGCAAGGCGAUGACCCGUGAGCCAGGAGACCUGCCAUGCACAUCACCUUCAA